rnacentral:lncRNA from 10 species
GCGCGGCCUGAACACGGCCUCCUCUGAGGUGGAAUUGUGCCCCCGUCUUGAAGCCCCCAGUACCUCAAAAUGUGACUAUACUUGGAGAUAGAACCUUUUAAAAGGUCAUGGAAGUAAAAUGAGGUCAUUUGGAUGGGCCCCAGUCCAACAGGACUCAUGUCCUUUAAGAAGAGAUUAGGGCACAGAUACACACAGCAGAAAGACCACGUGAGGACACAGCCACAGUACAGCCACCUCCUAGCCAAAGGACGACCUCAGAAUACACCAGCCCUGCCGACACCUCAAUCCUGGACUUUCAGCCUCCACGACUAUGAGAAGCUCUGAGGCUCACAGAAGAAAUACACAGUUGGUGCCGGUGCAGUGACUCUGGGGCCACCAAAGGGUACAUCAGGCCCCAUCAGAUCUAGCCAGCGACCUGCAGCCCCCGACAAGCCUUCCUGAGCUUCCACCCCGGCUGCAGCCUUCUCCCCAUGUGCCCACGUACUUGGGCUGCUACUGCUGCCUGGGUCUGUCCGCUUGUCAGUCAGUGAAGUUUCCCCAAUCUGUUUAUAUUAGUUAUGCUUAUCAUAAUGGCAUUGUGUAAUUGAGUAUACACAAAAUGAUAAAAUAUGAAUAUGAAAGUGAUUUCUAUGCACACUCAUUAAAUGCCUUGAAAAGACUCAUUAAAGGUGAAUUGCUUUACAAAAUUGCUGUUGAGUUAAGCUUGGUGUGACCGCCAGUCUCCAAGAUGGCCCCAUGCUUCUUAUCUCUUGGAGUUCACACCGUGUGUGGCUCUCUCCCAUGUCGAAUCAAGACCGACUGGGAGACAUAGAAUACCAUGGGAGUGACACUCUGUGUGCUCCAAGGCUGGGUCACAGAAGGCGUUGCAGCCUUUGCUUGGUUCUCUGGGGUCUCUGGCUCUGGACGAAGCUGUCACACCAUGAAGAUGGCUCUUUGGAGGGGCCACAUGGAGAGGAGCUGAAGCCUCCUACCCGCAGCUAGCACCAGCCUCGGGAAUGAGGCAGUUUGGAAGCGGCACCUUCAGCACCAGGCAAUGCUCCUGAGGGCAGCUCCUGCUGACGUCGGCUGCAACCUCAGGGGAACCUUAUAGUCCAGUUGCUCCCACAUCCCUGCCCACAGACAACAUGAGAGAGUGUGAAUGAGGGUCGGUGCUGUAAGUGCUGGGGCGGCGUCGUUGGCUGGGCAGCAAUAGCCAACCAGCACAUCACAGGAAACAGGGGCCUAAGUGGAGUCUGCACCUUGUUGUUUACAAAUGUUUUUAAACUCGCAUUAUAUUAUUUUUUUUUUUGAGACAGGGUUUCACUGUCGCACAGACUGGAGUGAGUGGCACGAUCUUGGCUCACUGCAACCUCUGCCACCUGGGCUCAAGCCAUCCUCCCACCUCAGCCUCCCGAGUACCUAGGACUACAGGUGCAUAGCACCGCACCUGGCUAAUUUUUCUGUAUUGUUAGCAGAGACGGUGUUUCGUCAUGUUGCGCAGCCUGGUCUUGAACUCCUGUGCUCAAGUGAUCCACCCAUCUUGGCCUCCCACAGUGCUGGGAUGACAGAUGUGAGCAACCGUGCUGGCCUCUCAUUAGUUAAGAAGCAGAGGCUCCGAGUCAGGGGUCCCCCGGGCACCACAAUGCCAGAGUCGGUGUGUACUCUAACCACGUGGCCCAGGCCCAGGGAAGGCGUCGCACAGACAUCCGGAUAUGAUGGAUGAAAGUACUUUUGUAUGUUUUAGGUUAAAAAUAAAAAUAUAAGGAUAUAUGUGAACAUU